rnacentral:rRNA from 1 species
AGAGUUUGAUCCUGGCUCAGAUUGAACGCUGGCGGCGUGCUUAACACAUGCAAGUCGAACGUGAAAGUCCUUCGGGGCGAGUAAAGUGGCGCACGGGUGAGUAACGCGUGGAUAAUCUACCCUUAAGAUGGGGAUAACGGCUGGAAACGGUCGCUAAUACCGAAUACGCUCCCGAUUUUAUCGUUGGGGGGAAAGAUGGCCUCUGCUUGCAAGCUAUCGCUUAGGGAUGAGUCCGCGUCCCAUUAGCUAGUUGGCGGGGUAACGGCCCACCAAGGCAACGAUGGGUAGCCGGUCUGAGAGGAUGACCGGCCACACUGGAACUGGAACACGGUCCAGACUCCUACGGGAGGCAGCAGUGGGGAAUAUUGCGCAAUGGGCGAAAGCCUGACGCAGCGACGCCGCGUGAGGGAUGAAGGUUCUCGGAUCGUAAACCUCUGUCAGGGGGGAAGAAACCCCCUCGUGUGAAUAAUGCGAGGGCUUGACGGUACCCCCAAAGGAAGCACCGGCUAACUCCGUGCCAGCAGCCGCGGUAAUACGGAGGGUGCAAGCGUUAAUCGGAAUCACUGGGCGUAAAGCGCACGUAGGCGGCUUGGUAAGUCAGGGGUGAAAUCCCACAGCCCAACUGUGGAACUGCCUUUGAUACUGCCAGGCUUGAGUACCGGAGAGGGUGGCGGAAUUCCAGGUGUAGGAGUGAAAUCCGUAGAUAUCUGGAGGAACACCGGUGGCGAAGGCGGCCACCUGGACGGUAACUGACGCUGAGGUGCGAAAGCGUGGGUAGCAAACAGGAUUAGAUACCCUGGUAGUCCACGCUGUAAACGAUGGGUGCUGGGUGCUGGGAUGUAUGUCUCGGUGCCGUAGCUAACGCGAUAAGCACCCCGCCUGGGGAGUACGGUCGCAAGGCUGAAACUC